AGUUGUAGCUGCAACGGAGUGCUAUCGCGCACGGGCUGGAUG
rnacentral:ncRNA from 1 species